rnacentral:rRNA from 1 species
UACGUAGGGGCCGAGCGUUGUCCGGAGUUAUUGGGCGUAAAGCGCGCGCAGGCGGCCUCGCGCGCCCGACGUGAAAGCCCCCGGCUUAACCGGGGAGGGUCGUUGGGGACGGCGGGGCUUGAGGGCGGGAGAGGGUGGUGGAAUUCCCGGUGUAGUGGUGAAAUGCGUAGAUAUCGAGAGGAACACCUGCGGCGAAGGCGGGUUGCUGGGCCGACACUGACGCUGAUGCGCGAAAGCCAGGGGAGCGAACGGG